rnacentral:rRNA from 2 species
ACGGCUCAGUAACACGUGGACAACCUGCCCUUAGGACGGGGAUAAACCCGGGAAACUGGGUAUAAUACCCGAUAGGUCUCGAUUGCUGGAAUGCAUCGAGAUUUAAAGCUCCGGCGCCUAAGGAUGGGUCUGCGGCCUAUCAGGUAGUAGUGGGUGUAGCGUACCUACUAGCCUACGACGGGUACGGGUUGUGAGAGCAAGAGCCCGGAGAUGGAUUCUGAGACACGAAUCCAGGCCCUACGGGGUGCAGCAGGCGCGAAAACUUUACAAUGCUGGCAACAGCGAUAAGGGAACCUCGAGUGCCAGGUUACAAAUCUGGCUGUCGAGAUGCCUAAAAAGCAUUUCAUAGCAAGGGCCGGGCAAGACCGGUGCCAGCCGCCGCGGUAACACCGGCGGCUCGAGUGGUAACCGUUAUUAUUGGGUCUAAAGGGUCUGUAGCCGGCCGGAUAAGUCUCUUGAGAAAUCUGGCAGCUUAACUGUCAGGCUUUCAGGAGAUACUGUCUGGCUCGAGGCCGGGAGAGGUGAGAGGUACUUCAGGGGUAGGGGUGAAAUCUUGUAAUCCUUGAAGGACCACCAGUGGCGAAGGCGUCUCACCAGAACGGACCUGACGGCAAGGGACGAAAGCUAGGGGCACGAACCGGAUUAGAUACCCGGGUAGUCCUAGCCGUAAACGAUACUCGCUAGGUGUCGGCCACGGUGCGACCGUUGUCGGUGCCGUAGGGAAGCCGUGAAGCGAGCCACCUGGGAAGUACGGCCGCAAGGCUGAAACCUAAAGGAAUUGGCGGGGGAGCAC